AGGUUGUGCAGUACCAGCUUCAUUCAUGUGCCAACUCACGCCUGUCAAUGAGGACCUCAUCUGUGGUGGACUCAACAGAACAAAACUCAAUGAAACAUUCUCAAGUGAGGAUUCACCGGUAUCCGUGUGCAACUUCACCAUCCGUCAACAUGCCUGUUCCUCGGCUGCACACCUCACUGCCACCAAUUUGGCCACACUGUUGGUAUGCUCCCUGCAAAGGAGGGAGUCUG